UGGGUCCUCUCCCACAGCGGCUUUCUGGUGGGGGAGCAUGCUGUUUCUUGCACUCAGGUGUGAGCAGAAAGUCAGGUGCCCCGCCCCUCUGCAGACUUGCUUGGGGAGCCCUGGCUGCCUGUCCCUAAUCAGAAUAAGGGGGAGGGAGCCACAGGCUGGUACAGGUAAGGGAGCCCGCGCUCCUUCUGUUUCUUCCCAGCUUAAACUCAGCCCUUCUGCUUGCAGACUCCAGCAGGCCCUUGGGUGCUCCCAGCAGGAAUGAAUGCCUCUGUAGGGGGUUUGCUUGCACAGAGCCAAGGGUAGGGAUUUAUCUUUGCAUUCUGAAGUCAGUGUCUGUGGGCUCUGUCUCCCUGCCUGGCUUGAAAUUCCAUUGUAAAGGAGCCAUCUUGCCUUUUUCUGUUUUUGCUUUUAUUUCACUCUCUGAAACUGGGCUUCCAUUUAGUUGGGUGGCAGUCUGUGGCUUCUGUCCUUGUUAGAUACCCUGGAGGAGGGAGCAGUGGUCUGGGGACCAGUUCUCUGGGAGCACAAAGCUCAGGGAUGUGGGAAAGAGCCCUCUCCUUUACCUGAGCUUGUGUGCCUCCCUUGUGUUUGUGUGGUGCUAUCCUACAACCUGUGAGAGUGCCCAGUAGACGGAAGCAAAUCCGGGUGGUGAUUCCCUGCUAGUGAGAUAUGCAAAGUUAUCGUUAAUUCAUGUCAGAGAACUCUCACCGAGAUUUUAUUGUUGUAUUCUUUAGUAUUUAGUGCCAUGGGGAAAAAUUAAGAACUAUGUUGUCCUUUUGGGGAGAGCAAUCUUGGUAGUUCUUUUUGUAUGGUGAAAGUGGUGGGUUUUUAAAAAAAUAAUAAUGAAAUUUUAGACCUGGUAUCUUCUGAAGCAGAAUGAAUGUGUAUUAGCAAAAGUGAUAAAUAUUCGAACUCUGUGGGAGAGCAGGCAUUUGUGGGAGGUUUCAGGCAUUCUUGGAUAUAUAAAUGCAAAUCUGUGGAGGUUGCUUAGGAAAUGAGAACAGUAGAAUUAAGCUACAGAAAAUUUGCCUUAUUCCCAGAAUCUAGGGAUUGGACCAGAGCCCUGGUGUAGCUUGAACAGAAGUUACUUGUGCAUGUCGAUAAAUGAUUUUCACCAUUCUGAAGCUUAACAGAAAUAUUGUUCAAUACAAAAAAAAAAACCCUUGCCAUUGCCGUUUUUUUGUUUUCCCCAGCGGUAGCAAGUGGCAAGUGAGAGAAUGUUUUUAAUUGAAAUCACGGAACUUCAUCUCAGCCAACUUUCAAUUGCUUCCCUCGUGCAGCAUUUUGCCAGAGUUUCAAACAAGACUGUACAAGAAAGGAAAAGAAUGUGGUAUUCACAGAUACUACGCGGGUAUCUCUAGCCGAUUAAGUCACUGUGUUACUCUCACCGUCCUGCAGAGGUAAUAUUCAAGCCAUGGUGAUGAGAUAACACUGCCUAUCACUUGUCCCAAAGACAUGCAAAGAAGCAUAAUUUCCCAGAAGGAUGGAAAGCUCAUUAUAUUUGUGGUCCAGGUAAUUAUAAUCAUGGGAUGCAAAGAUAAUAUGAAAGCUGAUCUGAAAUUCUUUUGGAACUUUAAUUAUUCUCUUUGAUUUAAGCAUACAAGUGAUUAAUUACAAGAUAAGUAAAAAACAUUCCUUUCCCCCCUUUUCUUUUGUAAGCAAGAUGCGGAUUUCUGCGGAUUUAAGGCCAUUUUAGCAUUCUCACUUUGGACUUGACAAAAACUUCUAUGGUAUCUGGAAAAUUAAUGCCUUGGGGAGGGUUUGUUUUCAUUUGCAUUCCUUAAUCCAGUUUAACUUUAAUCCCUCUUUCCAAGUCUAAUUCAAAAUGUAAGCAAGUAAAAUGAAGGGUAUUAGAAAUUGUAUUAAACAUCUCUGUGGGGACUUUGGGGUAUGUAUGGAGAAUUAACAUUGAUGCCAAGAUCCUUGCUGUACAUUAAUUUUCCAGCAUGAAAGAAUGAGGACAGCUCACAAUUGUACCUUCUCUUUCCAGCUCCUUUCAUUUUAUUCCUCUGGUGGUGUUCUCUCUAUGCAGUUUUAACCCAAUCAGAUCAAAAGGAAUGGUCUGUUACCCAUGACUGAAUGAGAUCUGUCACAAUAUUUACCUUUGGGCCACUGUGUUUAGGGAGAAAAAAAAAUGACAGUUCGUUUAGAUGUGAUCUCUCUGGGGCUUCUUCAUAUCAGCCAGGCUGUUGGGUGGUGUUGAUCUGAUCCUCUUUGAGCAUCUAUUCUCCAGUGUCACAGGGACACAGUGGUAGUGAAUCUGUAUUCCUCUCCACGCUGGGGGAGCGCUAAGCAAGUGCUUCCAUUUGGAGAACAAACAGGUAUCUCUGGGCUUCUAGGCAGGUGGGGAAUGCUGAAUAAUUAAUUGGUCUCUAGGGAGAUGUUAAUUGCUAUAGUUGAAUAUUCUUUUGGACUUAAUGUCAAUCGUAGUUUGACUAUUGCAGAAUCCUUUCAGAGCAUAAAAGUGUUUAGGAGUGAGUGCAUUAAUGGUACAGAUAGGCAUUGUUUUUGAACAUUAAUAUGGAGGAUGACUUGGCAAAGUUUUGGAAGAGGCUUUCUCAUCUACAUGACUUUGAUUUGAGCCAUUAACUAUGCACUUGGCACUUCAAACUAUAAUUAAUUUAGGUUAAGUUGUUCCCUUUGAUAAAGAAAGCUGUAGGAUAGGUGGUCAUUAAUCAUAUCAAGAAGCUUUGUAGGGGUUUUGAAAGACAAAAUUGGCUUUCCUGUUUGAAGACAAAGGAAGUGUCUGCUGGGCCUUGCCUUUUGGAAUGAAUGAGAGUAAUUUUAGGAAUUCCAGCCUCUGCCCCUAAGGUGAUAGUUUGGUUCUGAAUCCUCAAGACGUCACUUACACAAAACCAGACCUGCAAGUGCCUUGUGUUUUUCGUACGUUGUGUUCUUUAAUGUCACCAUCAAGGCUUUGGGUGGAGAGAAAAGGGAUUGAAAAAGAUGUGCUGAAUUUUCAAGUAAGGCUUUCUGCCUAUUGCUCUUUCUGUGAACCCAUCCUAAGGAGCAAGUGCAGACAUUGCCCACAUUUAAGACGUAUUCGCUGAAGAGGUGCAGUCACUUUAAUGCCUGGCAUUUUACUCAACUAACUCAUUGGUGAAAUAAAGGAUUGAUGGAUUGAUGUUCAACUUAUAUAAGACCAUGUACAUAUUGCUAAGUUCCCCAUGAACAUCGUAGGUAUCUAAAAAAGAGACGUCUUGAUUUGUUUUAAUAAAUAACAUUAAGCGCCUCCAUUUCCGAUCCCUGUUUGGAAAUGUCACAAUGAUGGGUGUGUGUUAUUUUGACCCCAUGUGAAGAUUCCGUGGCAACAGUAAACAUUCACAUUAUAGAUUUUCAUAGGCAAUAAAUCCACAUGAUGCAAGCAGCCUUGGCCUGCAAUAAAGAUGUGUUGUGAAAUUUCCCAUGCCAGAAGAGACACUCAUAGCUUGGGAUUGGCACUUUCAAGCCUGUAGACAGUGAUACCUGGGCACUCCCAUCAGCUGGAGUUUGCGGCCCAUGGGUUUCCCUGUGUUGCCUGGCUCUGUUUAUUUAAGCUUCAUUGCAUGGCUUGUACUACUGUCCUAAGUGGUUGCUGUUUUUCCCAAGAACUCUCUUUGCAGUAUACUCUUGGUGUUUUAUUUCUCUUUUCUUACAUUAAUCCUCAAUUAAGAACAAGCCCUAACAUUCAACAUCAUUGUUAAGGGCUAAGAAUAAUUUCUGAGAGAAUUUCUAAUUGCUGCCUUUCCAAAAUCUGGUAAUUCGUAUUUGGAUACUCUUAGCACAAUUUGGGGGAGAGGGAUGAUUUACUUUUCUUUCUUUCUUUUUUUUUAAAAACGUGCAUGCGUCCCAGCUUUCACUGAAGACAGCACAGUCUCAAUGGCAUGGUUUACAAGUAUGGUGUAAUGGAAAUUAUACAGGAUUGGAGCCACACAGGCCUGUUUUAGCAUCUUAGCAUCAUCGUGUAUUAAUUAUGCGACUUUGGCAAGUCACACAGCCUCUCCGAAACUCAAUUUUCUCACUGUUAGUUAGGACUUAAAAUAUUAACUGUGAUUCAUUUAUAAUAUUCAUUAGGGUUUGUGGCAGAAAUUGCAGUGAUAGCUCCCAUAUCACAUACUGUUCUCCAAUUCUGAUUUGGAUGCCGCUACAUUGUGGAGGUAGGGGUUGGUGCUGUCUGUCCCCUCUUUGAAUCGGGGUGAGAGAAAGUGGUUGUAAUUAUGGUGAAAGUGGAGAUGUGAGUGAGGUUUCCAAGACAGAGCCAAAAGGAGUGAUAUAGCUUCCACCCGAGUGUCUUGGGACUUUCCAUUUUGGAAUGUAGCCAGCAAGCAAUGAGGGAGCUCAAGCAGGCACGUGGAGAGGCCCCUCUAGGUGUUUCCAGCGGACAGCCCAGCUGAGGCCCCGGUGAUGCGAGCCUCUCACUGAUGAGUCACCUUCCGUCUUCCCAGUGGAAGCUCUCCAGGACUCAAGAAACAGAGACGAGACCUUGCCUCUGUGCUCGGUACAAAAUCCUGACUCAGAGAUUGUAAAAGAUGAAGUUAUUGUUGUCUGAAGCAGUAAUGUUUUGGGUUGAUUUAUUAUGCAUCAAAAGACAACCAGAACAAGUUUAUGGUGAGAGUCAAAUGAAAGAGUGAUUCUUUCUGGGUUUGAAUAAUGUCUCUAGCACUUGAUAGCCAUGUGACCUUGGAUAUACUAUUUAACUGCUUUUGUGUGUGUGUUUUUAACGAUCAAUAGGGCCAACAGUACCUCCCUCUAGACUUAAUAGGAGAAUUCAUCAUUGAGUACGUGUGAGAUGCUCAAUAAAUGUUAGUUGUCAUUAUUUUCUAUUAAACUGUAUUGCUGGAGUUUGACAAUGUGUGGGGAGAUUUAUGUUAAUGGUGUUAUGAUUUUAAAAAAGAGUUAUGCAAAUUUUUAAGUGACUUUCCUAGGCAAGAAACCAGUGGGGCUUUUGGAUAUCAAAUUUUGAAUGUAAGUUUCAUGAAGUGAAAAAAUAUAAAAGAAAAUUAAAAAUAAAUGUUACUAAUUUCUGCCAAGCAUGUAUUUCAUAUAUUUUUCUACAGUCCAGGAACCCUUUGGCUUCAACUGAUAGCAGGAGACAUAAAUACUCCAGUAUAGGAUAUUGACAGAAGGGUUAAAGAAUAGUAAGUAGGAAGGAAAUCUUAAUUUAUUCAUAUUAUGUACCAGAACUGCACUAUAGGCUUUUACUAGUGUCUUUCUCUUAGAUACCAUGAGAUAGAUAGUAAGGAAAGGAUGGUAUGCCACUAAAUCUUUGCUGUCCGUGCUACUGAGUUUGUUAGUGUCCUUUUCUGUUCUGUUAAUGGGGCAAGAAGAAUUUGACAAUUGCAAUUUGGCCUUCAGGCUAAAAGCUACUGGUCUGAGCUCCCACAUCUGUAUUUGUUUCUGCCUCUGACCCAUGAGUCACUUUGUGACCUCUCUAAGCCUCGGUUUUUUCAGCUGUCAAGUGCAUCUACCAGUGGUUUCUGAUUCGUGGAGUUGAUAGGAGGAUUCCAUGAGAUAACACACUAUUUCCAAACUUGCCUAAUGAUAAGAAUUACCCUAAAGCAUUUGUUAAAAUAGUGGAUCCCAUCCCAGAGUAACAGAAUCAGAAUUCCCAGAGCUUCUGUGAUUUUUAAGUGCCCCAAGUAGGUCUUAUGAUCAGGCUUGUCUAGGAGACACUAAGAAGAAGCAUGUAAAGCCCAUUAGUUAAAACUUAAAAAAGGAAAAGAAAAAUCUUAGCUGCUGUAGCAAUUUUACUUACAGUAAUGUUUUAGAUAUGUUCUUUGGAGUUACCUGUUUUCUUCACAUUUACGUCUAUAGUUCUUGACAAUUUUUGAAAAGUAAACCACACAAUGUCUACAAAUAUUGAUAAAUGAAUUAAAUAAAAUCUGUUUCUGCUGUUACUUUACAUUCGUUAAAAAGUUAAAAAGUUAUCCAUACUGUUGGCUUUUUUUUUUCUUCUCUGGAGUUUCAGCAGCCAUACCCAAGUUAAUGGAUUUCUUCCCAACCACCCAAACCUUUGGGGACUUAGGAGGACCAUGGUUCGAAACCUUUUUUCUUUUCUUUUUUUUCCCCUGUAAUGUAAUUAAAGAAAAAUAGCUUUGCAAGUUAGAGUCACUGAAUCCAGAGGGAAUUUACCUACUGGCUACCCAUCUGGCUGUGACUAUAAGGCUUCAUGUUCUAUGUUCCGUGAUAAUUAGAUUGACAGUUACUAUGUUGGUGACUCUAAUGAAAGACUUUUCUAUGUAAUGAGUCUCUAUAAUUAGUUUUCUAUUUGAAGUACCUAUUUACAAUAAUGUGUGUGUGCAUCGCAUUGGCUGUCAUAACCCUGAUGGGGCUGCUUACUUGUCGCAGAUUUAAACUUGAGCUACAUGGGUUUAUGUAGAAGUCGUCCACCCUCAAAGGACUCUGUGCAUGAGAUUUUGCUAAGUACGCCCCUGAAUACUUUGAAGUAUAGUUGCUUUUGUCAUCCUUGGUUACAUUGUGUGUCAUGUUGUCUUCUGCUUCCUAAGGAGAAGUAACCCUGAUGUUAUAUAUAUAAAUUAUAGAGCAAUGAAUACUUUUGUCCCAUGUUCCAAAAUUUUAAUUUAUUGGUUCUUAAUGCUGUAUGGUCUAGGUUUGUCUUAUGUUCAUUUUACUUUAUCUUUAAUAAUUUAAAAAUUUGUGCUUUAAUGAUGCUAUUGAUUCUACUUACCUAAGGCUUAGUUCAAUGGCUGGCCGAUGAUGGAUACUGGGGCCUGUCACAUUGCCAGAUUUUCAAUAGGAGCUAGAUAAAUUUUUGUUAAUAUUGUAAUUAUUUGCCUUAUUUUUUAAAGAGCAUACCAAUACUUAAAAGUUAUAAAUGCAGUAUGAUAGGUUUCGUGUCUAAACAAAUAGGGCAAUGAAUUUCAUUUUAUUUUCUUUCCAAAUUUAUACUGUGGUGUUUCAGCUAUUUGUUCACAAAUAUAGUGGGAGGAGUUCGAUCCAUGUAGUUUAUUGGGAUAGCUCUAACAUGGAGGCCUGUGUCGCAGUUCCAGCUAUAUGAAUGGAACCUGGGCAGAGUCCUUAACCCUAGUGGCCCUCCGUGUGCACACCUAUAAAUGGUUGGGCUGUGAACCCGUGAUUCUUUCAACUCUUAGGUUUUUGGCAAUGUGGUUCAGCUUGUCCUUUAAAACUGCUUUUGGGUUGGAUAUAAGGUUAAGGUUGGAAUGUUCUUACAAGUCUUCUGGGAGAUUGAUUCUAAAAUAUUGGUCCUUGCAUCUGUGCUGGGUCUUGUUCUGAUGCAAAUUUGCUGAUUGAAUGUAUAGUGUGAUUCUGAUCCAUGUGUGUGUAUAUGUGUGGGUGUGUGAGCGUGUCAGGGCAUAUAGAGAGUUCUAAAUGUCAGGUGAAGGCUGGGCAGUGACUCAGGGUUGUCAACUUUAUUUCUAUUUACAGCAUGACAUGGGCAUUAAGAUUAUAAUGUUUUGAGGGCUAUAAAGCUUAUUUUCAUAUUUUCCUUUAUUUUAAGUUAUACUGCAGUGAACAUCCAAAGAGACAUGUGAACAUCCUCAUAUUUGCACCUUGUGAACAUAUGCCAAUAAUGGAUACUUUACUCAUGCUUUUGCUGCCAGCUCAGGUGACACCUCCUCCAGGAAGCCUUACCUGACAACCUGCCAAAUCUACCCACAUCCCCUUUCCCUCAGGUUAGGUGCUUUUUUUUGGAGCUUGCAUUAUGUACCCCACAUAUCUACUUCCUCUGCCACCCGCCCCAGUCAAGACUGUGAGUUCUUGAGCAUAGAUAAUGGCUUCCUUCAUAUUUAUAUCCCCACAUGAUACAUCAUAGAUGCUCAGUACAUGUUAAUUUCUUGAAUGAAUAGAUGGUUGGAUUGAUGGAAGUUUACUAAAACCGAUUCUCUGUGCCUAACUUUGCCUCCUAUCCCUUCUCUUACAUAUUACAAAGUCUAUUCAGAAUAUGAACAUUUCAUUUUAAGGUUAAUCUUUCUCUGAAUUUCUUUUCUUCAACUUGUUGCUUGAAAUUCAGGGAGAUAUUUCUAAUACCCUUUCAUUAAAUUAUUGAGAAAUGUAAAAUGUGAUGGUUUCAAUUGUUCGAAAUUUUAUUGUUUUAUUGACAUUGUAAGAAAAGGGUCUUUAAAGCCAAUGUGACUUUAUUAAGCAUCUCCACAUUUUUGUUCAUUUUUUCUAGCAAAGUUUUAUUGAAAGAAGUUAAUCCACCCGUCUUGUAGUUUCGUUUUGAAUGAUGGUUCAGAAGUUGCUGUAGUCAUUUAAAAAAAAAAAAUAAAGCCUAUUUUUUUUCUUAUUACUGAAGUAAUAUAGGUUUAUUGACAAAACCACAACUAUCUCAUGUUCUACCAUUCAGUAAAAAUCCAUUUGAACCCCUUGGUACAGCAUUCAAGAAAGUAUGUUCUUUGGUUAUUAAUCCUCAAAAGAAUUCCAUUAGUAAACAGUUUUUGAAAAAGCUGUGUAUGUAUGAGAAAGCCUAAAUAUACAUUAGCUAAUCUUGGACCAGGGAACUACCAGCCCCGUCUCUGUUCCCCUUUUUAGUCUUUGUUAAAGUGCUUGGGGAACUAGUGACCCCUGGAGUUGACUGUGGGAAAUGCUGGCAUAGUAAUACAUCUUUCCCAUCUUUUUUAGUUAUAUCUAAUGAACACCCGUAAACAUACUUUUGUUUAGUUUUGAAUAAAAAUGGGUUCAUUCCUUAGGUACUGUGAUACAGUUUGUUUUUUUAUUUCAUAAAUCAUGAUCUGUAACAAAGUUUUCAAAAGUUAUAUAGGAUUCCAUUCUAUGGAUUAUUUCAUAAUUUAUUUAACCAAUCCCAUUAUUGAACAUCUAGGUUUUGAAAAAUUUCUGCCAAUAGCUUUGUAGUACGAAUCUUAAUUAUUUUCUUACUUCCAACAACUUUCAUUGUCCCCUUCUUUCAAAGGUGUGCUAGAGAGGGUAGGAUGUUGAUGCUCCAUUACUAAAGAUGAACACUUUUCAAUCUCAUAUUUUAAAUCCUUUCUCAGUGAUAACUCUUAUUGAUAUUUGGGUGGCCCACCUGCUGGGUUAUUCAAAACAACAUUUAAGUCCCAGUCUGACUUUUCUUGGCAUCUGGCAUUGUAUUUAUCCAUUUCUGAUCAUCUUUUCAUAUAUACUUAAGAACUGUAAGUUCAUUUUUAAUACCAACUUAAGCAGGAUGAAAUGAGAAAGAUGGUACUCCAGUUAUUGUUAUCAGUAACUUAAGUAAUCUGUACCUUUGUUUCCCUCUGAUUGCAUGGGAAAUAAAAUGUUGCUUAUUGUGUGGAUUUUGAGGCAUGCAUUAA